rnacentral:rRNA from 1 species
AUUGAACGCUGGCGGCAGGCUUAACACAUGCAAGUCGAGCGGAGUGAUGGUGCUUGCACUAUCACUUAGCGGCGGACGGGUGAGUAAUGCUUAGGAAUCUGCCUAUUAGUGGGGGACGACAUCUCGAAAGGGAUGCUAAUACCGCAUACGUCCUACGGGAGAAAGCAGGGGAUCACUUGUGACCUUGCGCUAAUAGAUGAGCCUAAGUCGGAUUAGCUAGUUGGUGGGGUAAAGGCCUACCAAGGCGGCGAUCUGUAGCGGGUCUGAGAGGAUGAUCCGCCACACUGGGACUGAGACACGGCCCAGACUCCUACGGGAGGCAGCAGUGGGGAAUAUUGGACAAUGGGGGGAACCCUGAUCCAGCCAUGCCGCGUGUGUGAAGAAGGCCUUAUGGUUGUAAAGCACUUUAAGCGAGGAGGAGGCUCUUUUGGUUAAUACCCAAGAUGAGUGGACGUUACUCGCAGAAUAAGCACCGGCUAACUCUGUGCCAGCAGCCGCUGUAA